rnacentral:tRNA from 1 species
AGAAGCUUAGGUUAAUACAUUAAACCACGGACCUUCAAAGCCCGAAACAAUGGUUAAACCCCAUUAGCUUCUG